rnacentral:rRNA from 1 species
CUCUAAAGUGACUGCCGGUGCAAGCCGGAGGAAGGUGGGGAUGACGUCAAAUCAUCAUGCCCCUUAUGACCUGGGCUACACACGUGCUACAAUGGAUAGUACAAAGGGUCGCGAAGCCGCGAGGUGGAGCUAAUCCCAUAAAACUAUUCUCAGUUCGGAUUGUAGGCUGCAACUCGCCUACAUGAAGCCGGAAUCGCUAGUAAUCGUGGAUCAGCAUGCCACGGUGAAUACGUUCCCGGGCCUUGUACACACCGCCCGUCACACCACGAGAGUUUGUAACACCCGAAGUCGGUAGGGUAACCUUUAUGGAGCCAGCCGCCGAAGGUGGGACAGAUAAUUGGGGUGAAGUCGUAACAAGGUAGCCGUAUCGGAAGGUGCGGCUGGAUCACCUCCUUUCUAAGGAA